rnacentral:hammerhead_ribozyme from 1 species
AUCCAGAGGGCGAGUCCCAAAUAGGACGAAAUGCGCAUCCUGGAU